CCUAAAGAUGGGGCUGUGUGAGAGUGAGGGUGUCGGUAUUCCUGGACGUCGGUGACAAGAGCGUCUGGAAGAUGUAACCCCCCUUGGACAGGGUCCAGGCUCUAGUGUCCCGCUGGAAAGGAUACUGUGCUGCAAGCCCCAUCCCACCCCAGUGAAGACAUGGCUCUGAAGAGUGGCACUGAAGCAAAGCAGCCUCCCUGCGGGGACUCACUUCUCAGUGCCGAAGAUUCAGAGAAAUAGUGAAAUUCAUCCCUGAGUCACCCAGAUAACAGUCACCUCUCAUUGUCCACGAAGGCCCUCCUCCAUGUCCUCCAAGUCAAGCCCUGGAUAUAGAGAAUGCCUCCUCCUCUCAGCAUCUCCAUCUCAACUCUUAUUCCAAGAACUGGAGAGGGGUCUAGAAUGGAGAACCAACAGUGCUUUGGGCUUCAUCCAAUCAAACAAGGUCAAGUCCAGUCCAGCACCCUCCUUUCUUCCACACUUAGGACAGAUGCUGCUGUAGGACACGAUUCCCUUCUGAAACCUUCAUUUGCCAGUCAUAUUUAGCAUCUGCUCCCAAACCAACUUGCCACCUUUUUCUCUUGUCACAGAGCAGAGAAGAAACAUGACCAGAUAAUGAACAAA
rnacentral:lncRNA from 1 species